UACGGGGGGGGCAAGCGUUGUUCGGAAUUACUGGGCGUAAAGAGCUCGUAGGUGGUUUGUCGCGUUGUUCGUGAAAACUCACAGCUCAACUGUGGGCGUGCGGGCGAUACGGGCAGACUUGAGUACUGCAGGGGAGACUGGAAUUCCUGGUGUAGCGGUGGAAUGCGCAGAUAUCAGGAGGAACACCGGUGGCGAAGGCGGGUCUCUGGGCAGUAACUGACGCUGAGGAGCGAAAGCGUGGGGAGCGAACAGG
rnacentral:rRNA from 1 species